UGUGUGUGUGUGUGUGUGUGUGUGUGUGUGUGUGUAGAGAAAGGAGGCACAUAAUUUCAGGCAUAAUGAAAGCUUAUUGAGUCGAUAGCUGUGUUUUACACACACACACACACACACACACACACACAGC
rnacentral:miRNA from 1 species